AGAUUGAACGCUGGCGGCAUGCCUAACACAUGCAAGUCGAACGGGAGUAGCAAUACUCUAGUGGCGGACGGGUGAGGAAUACGUAGGAAUUUGCCCUUAAGUGGGGGAUAACCCGGGGAAACCCGGAUUAAUACCGCAUGACCUCGAAAGAGCAAAGUGGGGGAUCGCAAGACCUCACGCUUUUGGAGAAGCCUACGUCGCAUUAGCUAGUUGGUGAGGUAAUGGCUCACCAAGGCGACGAUCCGUAACUGGUCUGAGAGGAUGAUCAGUCACACCGGAACUGAGACACGGUCCGGACUCCUACGGGAGGCAGCAGUGGGGAAUAUUGGACAAUGGGCGCAAGCCUGAUCCAGCAAUGCCGCGUGUGUGAAAGAAGGCCUCGGUUGUAAGGUAGU
rnacentral:rRNA from 1 species